rnacentral:rRNA from 1 species
GCUCAGAUUGAACGCUGGCGGCAUGCUUUACACAUGCAAGUCGAACGGUAACAGGCCUUCGGGUGCUGACGAGUGGCGAACGGGUGAGUAAUGCAUCGGAACGUGCCCAGAGGUGGGGGAUAACGCAGCGAAAGCUGUGCUAAUACCGCAUGUGAUCUGAGGAUGAAAGCGGGGGACCAGGCAGCAAUGUUUGGCCUCGCGCCUUUGGAGCGGCCGAUGUCAGAUUAGGUAGUUGGUGGGGUAAAGGCCUACCAAGCCGACGAUCUGUAGCUGGUCUGAGAGGACGACCAGCCACACUGGGACUGAGACACGGCCCAGACUCCUACGGGAGGCAGCAGUA